CAAUAAUGAAAGGUGUUAUACGUUGGCAACUUCUCGCUCUAAUCCGCCAUCUUGAACUACCUUAGGAGAAACAGUGUUGUUUCUUUGCUAUUUUCACUGAACAUUUCCCAAAAUAUUAGAAAAAAAUUCUGAACAAGCUACAUUGAUUCAAUUUUCGUUGUUCGUUUUGUUCUUAUUCGCUGACAUUUGUUUUCCAAUUGCGUGAAAUUUGGUCAUUUCCUUAGUGUUUCGCUGACCGACCUGUGCUGGUAUUGUGAUUAAGAGCUAAUACACAUUUUUCGGACGAUUCUGCUGUGCUGCGUUCCUGCUCCGCCUGUAUAUUGCUCCGCCCGUAUUUUAUAGUGUUGCGUUCCUGUUGCGCCUUUGCAUUAGUGUGUGCGUUGUGAUUUAGACACGUUGAAAUUUUUUGUAUGCUUCUGCUGUGCUGCGUUCCUGCUCCACCCGUGUAUUAGAUUGCUGCGUUCCUGUUAACAUACAUAUCGUCGCUUAAAGUACAAAACCGCGUAACUGACAUUUGCUGCUAAAAAUUGGAUUCGCUCACACACGUUUUUGGAUCAAUCCUUAUCCAUUCUUCCUGAAAUAUACUAGCCAAAAAUGCGAUUG